ACCGAAGCUGCGGCAGCGACGCUGAUGCGUUGUUGGGUAGGGGAGCGUUCUGUAAGCCUGCGAAGGUGACCUGUGAGGGUUGCUGGAGGUAUCAGAAGUGCGAAUGCUGACAUAAGUAACGAUAAAGCGGGUGAAAAGCCCGCUCGCCGGAAGACCAAGGGUUCCUGUCCAACGUUAAUCGGGGCAGGGUGAGUCGACCCCUAAGGCGAGGCCGAAAGGCGUAGUCGAUGGGAAACGGGUUAAUAUUCCCGUACUUGGUGUUACUGCGAAGGGGGGACGGAGAAGGCUAUGUUGGCCGGGCGACGGUUGUCCCGGUUUAAGCGUGUAGGUGUGUGUUCCAGGUAAAUCCGGUUCACUUUAACACUGAGGCGUGAUGACGAGGCACUACGGUGCUGAAGCAACAAAUGCCCUGCUUCCAGGAAAAGCCUCUAAGCAUCAGGUAACAUCAAAUCGUACCCCAAACCGACACAGGUGGUCAGGUAGAGAAUACCAAGGCGCUUGAGAGAACUCGGGUGAAGGAACUAGGCAAAAUGGUGCCGUAACUUCGGGAGAAGGCACGCUGACACGUAGGUGAAGUGAUUUACUCACGGAGCUGAAGUCAGUCGAAG
rnacentral:rRNA from 1 species